rnacentral:lncRNA from 1 species
UGCAUCACGACCCCGUGUUGAAUCAUGGGGACCAUUAUCCUCUCCUCCUCAUCCUGUUCUCCUCUCAUCCUCCUCUCCACGACCUCAUCCUCCUCUAAAUGCCGCCUCUUUCCUCCUAAUGCCUAACCUCCUACUCUCUUCUCUCUUUCCCUUUCUUGCCACUCCACUCACUCCUUGUACCUUCCACACUCUUACUCUGUACAUCAAUAAAAUCCAUUUGGCACAUGAUUAUGCUCAGCCACAAAAUGGGAUGGAGGUGCUAUUUUUAGCCGGCUAAGGGAGGAGAGGGAGGGCAUGGGAGCGAGAGAGAGAAAGGGGGUGGGAUAAACCGUUCUUUUCGUUCUGUAGCUGUAUGUUGGUCGGAGGCACAGAGCUCUGGGGUAGCUUGGCUAGAGACAGCGAGAGGAUUGAGAGGCAACGAAAACGAGCAAACGACACCACCAGAAACACAAAUAAGACACAGGCAUGCGACCCCGCUCCAGACUCCUGGCUAAGAGGUGCCUGCCCACCAUCAGGGAGGGCUAUGAGGAGCUGGUCCAGGACAUGAACCAGGCCAACAGCCGCCACCUCCCUCCCCAUGGUCAGGUACACUCACUGUCUACCCAUGACUACUUCCUGUCCAUCUGCCAGCUCGCCCGACCAACCUUCCCCCAGGGAGAACCUGACUGUGACAUCCUCACGGUGGGCGCUCUGGCCUCCCUGAGGCCUUGCCUGAGGCUGCACAGACUGAGGGACCCUGUGCCACCCUGUCAGCCUCUGAUCUCUAAGGUCAGCCGCCACACACAGUUAGAGCAAGAGGAGAGUCAGAAUGAGUGUAGUGGCCCAGAGAGAGUGGUGGAUGUCAGUUCACGUCAGACCUCCAGUAGGGUUGUCCCCAGUGUCUCUGACCCCUUGGAGUUCCUCUACGGUCACAGGGAAGGACUCCUUUCAGCCGCCUGUCGCGCCCAUGGCUCACAGGGCUGGAUGGGUGAAGGGAGUCAGAGUGCGACCCAGCGUCGACCACAACCCCCGGUACGUGCCAACAGUUUCCCCCGCAUGUGUUCCUCACCCCUGACCCAGCGCAAAAACAGCUGCCGUGAGCUAUGGCUGGUGGACCCCACUGACCAAAAGAAGCCAAACCCUGACCCUGCUCCACCACAGACAUCCUCAUCAGACCAGCAGAAACCUGAUGCCUCCAGCUCAUUCUCAUGGAGGUUCCAGAAUGACCCAGACAGGGCACCUGCAGUCUUGUCUCAUCGCUGCAACUUCCGUACGGACUCGGGAGAGGCGAAGGUCGAGAGCCAUGCGUCCUCCAAAACACGAC